rnacentral:lncRNA from 1 species
UUCUUUUCAGUCUGGUUGGAUUCCUCUUCAGCUUUUUGAUACUUUGAUCGUUUCUAUUUUUUUUAAAAAAAAAAAACUGGUUGGCCCCCUUGCAGAUACAACAGAUAGGAAGUGAAGAAGAACUGCCAAGAAACAGAGAAAAAUAGGUUCCCAAAACAAAAACAAAAAGAUGAAUCGAGAAACCCCUUUGAUCAGACGCCCUCAAGCUGCUCUGAUACCACUUAAUAGAUUCCUGGUUAAGGAACAACCCUAGGAUGCUCUUGAGGGUCGAUCUUGUGAUGAUUUGGUGGUGAUAGAUCAGGUUACUAACACUGAUGGGUUGAUGAUCGAUUAUAGAUUGAUAAAAGGGGAAAUAUGGUCGAUGGUAGAGAUGGUUUCAGUG